GACAGAAGGACAAAGGGCACGGCAAUCACUUGGAAGCAGAUUCUGUUGUUUUAGGUCUCCCUCUUUCCCUCUUCAGUUUGUAAAACAUCAACUCUAUUGCGAAAGGAAGCCUGGUAGGGGAGGAAUCACGCAAAGGAGUGGAAAUGCUGGCAUCCGACUGCCGAGCCUGAUUGAGAAGUCAGGGCCAGAGCUACGUCAUUUGUGCAACACUUUAAGAAACUCUAAAAUCUUAAGUACGGAACUCUGAUUCCUUUCUGUUUUUAUGUUUCUUUCAGUCUACGGACAUUGACUGUGCCUGAUCUCAGAUAUAUUUUUAAAGCUAUAUGUACACGUCUGUGAAUGGGGGUGGUGGUGCAUGUGCACACAUGGAUGAGGGUGCCCGUGGAGUCCAGAAAAGUGCACAAGAGUCCAUGAAGCUGGAGAGAGAGAAUAAGAAAACAGAGAAGAAAUGAGCCAAGAGUCCUAUGGCAUUCAUCAGGAACUCAGGUAAGGAAUCUGCUUGUGAUUAAAACAA
rnacentral:sRNA from 1 species